rnacentral:rRNA from 1 species
AGUGAACGCUGGCGGUAGGCCUAACACAUGCCAGUCGAACGGCAGCACAGUAAGAGCUUGCUCUUACGGGUGGCGAGUGGCGGACGGGUGAGGAAUACAUCGGAAUCUACUUUUUCGUGGGGGAUAACGUAGGGAAACUUACGCUAAUACCGCAUACGACCUACGGGUGAAAGCAGGGGAUCUUCGGACCUUGCGCGAUUGAAUGAGCCGCUGUCGGAUUAGCUAGUUGGCGGGGUAAAGGCCCACCAAGGCGACGAUCCGUAGCUGGUCUGAGAGGAUGAUCAGCCACACUGGAACUGAAACACGGUCCAGACUCCUACGGGAGGCAGCAGUGGGGAAUAUUGGACAAUGGGCGCAAGCCUGAUCCAGCCAUACCGCGUGGGUGAAGAAGGCCUUCGGGUUGUAAAGCCCUUUUGUUGGGAAAGAAAAGCAGCAGGUUAAUACCCCGCUGUUCUGACGGUACCCAAAGAAUAAGCACCGGCUAACUUCGUG